rnacentral:misc_RNA from 1 species
UCCCCGUUAUCCUGGGCAGUCCUUCCAGAGUUCCCGGCAUGACCCGUUGGCAACUGGAAGCAGGGGUUGCGCUCGUUGCGGGACUUAACCAAACAUCUCACGACACGAGCUGACGACGGCCAUGCAACAUCUGUCACCGAGUUCAAUAAAGCACUCACUCCUUUCGGAGUAAUUCUCGGGAUGUCAAACCCUGGUAAGGUUCUUCGCUUAGCAUCGAAUUAAAGAACACCAUCCGCUACUUGUGCGGGUCCCCGUCAAUUCCUUUAUGUUUUAGUCUUGCGACCGUACUCCACAGGCGGGAUACUUAACGCGUUAGCUUCGCUACUGAAGGGGUCGAUACCUCCAACAGCUAGUAUCCAUCGUUUACGGCGUGGACUAC